rnacentral:rRNA from 1 species
UACGAAGGGUGCGAGCGUUAAUCGGAAUUACUGGGCGUAAAGCGUGCGCAGGCGGUUUGGGAAGACAGAUGUGAAAUUCCCUGGCUUAACCUGGGAACUGCAUUUGUGACUGCCAGGCUAGAGUGCGGCAGAGGGGAGUGGAAUUCCGCGUGUGGCAGUGAAAUGCGUAGAUAUGCGGAGGAACAACGAUGGCGAAGGCAACUCCCUGGGCCUGCACUGACGCUCAUGCACGAAAGCGUGGGGAGCAAACAGG